rnacentral:rRNA from 1 species
UAGGGAAUCUUCGGCAAUGGACGAAAGUCUGACCGAGCAACGCCGCGUGAGUGAAGAAGGUUUUCGGAUCGUAAAACUCUGUUGUUAGAGAAGAACAAGGACGUUAGUAACUGAACGUCCCCUGACGGUAUCUAACCAGAAAGCCACGGCUAACUACGUGCCAGCAGCCGCGGUAAUACGUAGGUGGCAAGCGUUGUCCGGAUUUAUUGGGCGUAACGCGAGCGCAGGCGGUUUCUUAAGUCUGAUGUGAAAGCCCCCGGCUCAACCGGGGAGGGUCAUUGGAAACUGGGAGACUUGAGUGCAGAAGAGGAGAGUGGAAUUCCAUGUGUAGCGGUGAAAUGCGUAGAUAUAUGGAGGAACACCAGUGGCGAAGGCGGCUCGCUGGUCUGUAACUGACGCUGAGGCGCGAAAGCGUGGGGAGCAAACAGG